rnacentral:rRNA from 1 species
AUACUAAUCUACAAGUUUGACCUCAAAUCAGGUAGGACUACCCGCUGAACUUAAGCAUAUCAAUAAGCGGAGGAAAAGAAACCAACCGGGAUUGCCUCAGUAACGGCGAGUGAAGCGGCAAAAGCUCAAAUUUGAAAUCUGCGUAAGCCGAGUUGUAAUUUGAAGAUGGCUACUUUGGUAAUGGCUCUUGUCUAUGUUCCUUGGAACAGGACGUCACAGAGGGUGAGAAUCCCGUGCGAUGAGAUGUCCAUUACCGUGUAAAGUGCUUUCGAAGAGUCGAGUUGUUUGGGAAUGCAGCUCUAAGUGGGUGGUAAAUUCCAUCUAAAGCUAAAUAUUGGCGAGAGACCGAUAGCGAACAAGUACAGUGAUGGAAAGAUGAAAAGAACUUUGAAAAGAGAGUGAAAAAGUACGUGAAAUUGUUGAAAGGGAAGGGCUUGAGAUCAGACUUGGUAUUUUGUAUGGCUUGCUUUCGGGCGGGUCCUCUGCAGUUUACUGGGCCAGCAUCGGUUUGGGUGGCAGGAUAAUAGCAUAGGAAUGUGGCUCUACUUCGGUGGAGUGUUAUAGCCUUUGUUGAUACUGCCUGCCUAGACCGAGGACUGCGUCU